AUUGAACGCUGGCGGCAGGCCUAACACAUGCAAGUCGAGCGGAUGACGGGAGCUUGCUCCUUGAUUCAGCGGCGGACGGGUGAGUAAUGCCUAGGAAUCUGCCUGGUAGUGGGGGACAACGUUUCGAAAGGAACGCUAAUACCGCAUACGUCCUACGGGAGAAAGCAGGGGACCUUCGGGCCUUGCGCUAUCAGAUGAGCCUAGGUCGGAUUAGCUAGUUGGUGAGGUAAUGGCUCACCAAGGCGACGAUCCGUAACUGGUCUGAGAGGAUGAUCAGUCACACUGGAACUGAGACACGGUCCAGACUCCUACGGGAGGCAGCAGUGGGGAAUAUUGGACAAUGGGCGAAAGCCUGAUCCAGCCAUGCCGCGUGUGUGAAGAAGGUCUUCGGAUUGUAAAGCACUUUAAGUUGGGAGGAAGGGCAGUAAGUUAAUACCUUGCUGCUUUGACGUUACCGACAGAAUAAGCACCGGCUAACUCUGUGCCAGCCGCCCCGUGA
rnacentral:rRNA from 1 species